GUCUGAGGCAGCAACUCCGCGUGAGGGACGAAGGCUCUCGGGUCGUAAACCUCUUUUCUCAGGGGAAGAUCCAAGACGGUACCUGAGGAAUAAGCCACGGCUAACUACGUGCCAGCAGCCGCGGUAAUACGUAGGUGGCAAGCGUUGUCCGGAUUUACUGGGCGUAAAGAGCGCGCAGGCGGCUGGUCAAGUCCGAUGUGAAAUCUCCCGGCUCAACUGGGAAACUGCAUCGGAAACUGAUCGGCUUGAAGGUGGGAGAGGGUAGUGGAAUUCCCGGUGUAGUGGUGAAAUGCGUAGAUAUCGGGAGGAACACCAGUGGCGAAGGCGACUACCUGGCCCACUCUUGACGCUGAGGCGCGAAAGCUAGGGGAGCGAACGGGAUUAGAUACCCCGGUAGUCCUAGCCGUAAACGAUGAACACUAGGCGUAGUCGGUAUCGACCCCGGCUGUGCCGUAGCCAACGCAUUAAGUGUUCCGCCUGGGGAGUACGGCCGCAAGGCUA
rnacentral:rRNA from 1 species